UACGGAGGAUGCAAGCGUUAUCCGGAUUUAUUGGGUUUAAAGGGUGCGCAGGUUGUUUGAUAAGUCAGUGGUGAAAGUCUGUCGCUUAACGGUAGGAUUGCCAUUGAUACUGUUAGACUUGAAUAUGGAUGAGGUAGGCGGAGUGUGUAGUGUAGCGGUGAAAUGCAUAGAUAUUACACAGAACACCGAUUGCGAAGGCAGCUUACUAAUCCAUCAUUGACGCUGAGGCACGAAAGCGUGGGGAUCAAACA
rnacentral:rRNA from 1 species